AAAAUCAUGGUAUAAAAUGUGAACCAACCAAAAGGCUUUAUCCAAUUCUUGUGGCCAUGCAAAGCCCUUGUCUUUCUCUAGCCGGAGACUUACUUGCAAGGCGACGGAAGUGUCGGUGGCGGAGGAGCCGUCGGCUGCGGGGGAUGGCGAGAACUGGGUGCCAGUGGUGCCGCUGUCGGCAUUGCCCAAGGGGGAGCGGCGCGUGAUUAUACAGGACGGAGAGACGAUUCUGUUGUUGUGAUUAUACACGAAAUUUAUGUGAAGAAUGAAAGGCUCUUUUGAGGCUCAUGCAAGCCAUGUAAGAAUUUCAUGUGGCCUAGUGUAUAUUAUUAUGUGAUAUUCAUUUAAAUAUCAAAUUAAAAAUUAUGGUCAAAUAAAUAAUAAAACUACCAGAAGUUAAUUUCCUAAAUUAAAGGUACUUUAAUGGAAAGCGUACGCCUUAUCUGAUCUUCUCUUCACCCUGUAAAAUAAAUGUUCUAUUUGAUCAAAUACACAUAAGAAAAAACCUAAGAGUAGAAGGGUUAAGAAAGAACAACACGGUUUCUACUUUGCUUAUUGUUUGAUCUCUUUAAGACUUCUAUAUGGAUUAAAAGUAUGUCUUUUCUCAAUAAUGGAAUUGUGAAAAUCAUAUUAUUCUAAAAUCCUUGACUAUUUUGAUUCAAACAAAAUUAGGAUUUGAUUUGCAUAAUUAAAUAAUUACUUAUGAGUUUCAUUGGUGAGCAUAUAAUACCACUGACAUAUGUUGAUUAAGUGACAUGAAUACUUUUGAUGUUAUUGUGAUGAAAUUUAUGAUAAUAAAAGUUUAUUUUAUCAAUUUUCAAUAUGUUAUAUACAAUGUAUGUUUAUGGCUAAUAUAUAAAGUGAAUGACUUUCUCGAUUUUUGAAUUGAUUUAUGCAUCAACCACUUUUGAUUGAACCAUAAGUAUGAUUUUGUUCAUGGUAUUACAUCUUUAUCAUCAAAAUAGAUAUAUAUCUAUAUGUAUGUGAAAUAGAUUAUGAAAAUACUAGAAGAGUAAACAUAUUGAAAGGAAGUACCACCUAAUUCAUAAAUAGUACAAAAAGGUGAUAUGCCAAUUGAGAAGAUACCUUUUGUAAAGAACCUAAUAGAUUCUUAUACUAAAACACUUAUAGGAAAAGUCUUUGAUUGUAACGGGGACAAUAUAGGUGUCAAAUAUGCACCUAAUUUACUUUUAUAGCAUUAUGUUUUGAGGGCUAAUGGAAGAUUGUUAGGAUAUCAUCCUACAAAGCAUUACAUGAUAUAAUUAGAAAUUUGGAUUUAUCAUUUAUUUAAUUAUAUUCUAAUUGCUCUUUUAUCUAUGCUUGUAAUAGAGAGUUCCCUAUAUUCAAAUCCCAACCCUAAUAUCAUAUAAAAUAAAGUUUCAUGCUAGUAGAAUAUCUAAAUAUAUUCUCGGUAGUUUUUGGUCAUCAUUGGCAUAACUUUGGGCUAUGCACAAUAACUUUCCAUAUAUUUGGCUUUUAGGUAUAAAUUUAAUUUCUAUAUGAAAUCGUUCAAUAUAUAACUUUUUGCUACAUGAGUCUAAAAGUUAUUAACUUCCAUGCAUGGUGCGACUGGUGGGGUUUCCAAUCACUUGGAAACCAUGUCCAGAUACAUAUGAAGAGAUCAAUAAAACCAACCUUCCACUUCCUACAAUAAUAGUUUACCAAGUGUAUCUUCAAUCCUAAGCCAGUCUGGUAUUCGGUGUUGCAGCUCCUGUAAACUGGCCUCUGCUUGGUCCAGCUCCAGAUAAAGCUGCUCUACUUCAGCUAUCUUCUCAUUCAAGCGCCUACGAAUCACGUCCCUCUUGCCCUCUGCUUGUGCAUACUCAACUAAAGGUUGCACUCCUGUAAACUGGCCUCUGCUUGGUCCAACUCCAGAUAAAGCUGCUCUACUUCAGCUAUCUUCUCAUUCAAGCGCCUACGAAUCACGUCCCUCUUGCCCUCUGCUUGUGCAUACUCAACUAAAGGUUGCACUCCAACAAAUGGGCUUCUUAACCAAUCAACCUUAACCCGCGCCCUUGAAAAGAAGAAGAAUUAGCUGAAUUAAUAUUAUUGAUGUUGAAGUGUGUAUUUAUACAAGGAGGUUUGAGAUCUUUUUCUACAAAUCAGAAAUCAGCUUACCAUAUUCUAGACUAUCCAGCUAUAAGUCAGGAAUUACAAUAGGAAAACUAACAUAUACAGAUCAUCUAUUCUUAAUAUGGAAGAUUUAGGAAGAUUGACUUUCCAACACUCCCCCUCAAGUUGGAGAGUGGAUAUCCUGCACUCCCAACUUGCGAAUCAUAGGAGCAAAAAUCUCCUUUCCCAAUGGUUUAGUUAGAAUGUUUGCAAGUUGGUGUGCUGAGCUCACAUGUCUUGUAAUAAUGGAACCAUCUUGGAUCUUGUCCCUAAUAUAGUGACAAUCCAUCUCAAUAUGUCUAGUACGCUCAUGGAAAACAGGGUUAGCUGCAAUGUGCAACGUUGCCUUGUUGUCACAAUACAGCAAGGCAGGUUCCUGAUGUAAAACAACCAAAUCUUUCAAAAGGUACCGAAGCCAUGUCAACUCACAACAAGCUCUUGUCAUUGCACGAUACUCUGCUUCGGUUGAAGAGAGUGACACUGUUUUCUGUCGCUUUGAUCUCCAAGAAAUCAAUAAAGGUCCAAGGAAUACACAGUAGCCUACAGUGGACCUUCUAGUAAGUGGACAACCUGCCCAAUUAGAAUCACAGUAGGCUCUCAAUCUAAAAUCAUUAUUCGAAGAGAAGAACAGACCCUGACCAGGUGUAUUCUUGAGAUAACGUACAACUCUGAACGCUGCUUCCAUAUGAGCCUUUCUCGGUUGAUGCAUAAACCAGCUUAACACAUGAACUGCAUAAGUGAUAUCUAGCCUCGACAUAGUUAGAUAUAUUAACCUUCCAACCAAUCUCCUAUAACGACCUUGAUCCUUGAGCAAAUCGCUCUUAUCAGACAAUUUCAAUCCUCGUUCCAUAGGUGUAUCAAUAGGGGCAGCGCCCAACAAUCCUGCAUCCUCAAUAAUCUCUAAUGCAUACUUACAUUGGGAAAUAAAAAUCCCAUUUUUAGAAACAGAAACCUCAAUGCCAAGAAAGUAUUUUAAAUCACCCAGAUCUUUGAGAUGAAAAUGACUAUGUAGAAAUUUUUUUGUUGUAGCAAUGCUCACAGGAUCAUUUCCAGUAAUCAGAAUAUUAUCAACAUAUAUCAAGAGGGCAGUAAAGGACUUGCCUUGUUUUCUGGUGAACAAAGAAUAAUCGACUCGAGAUUGUGCAUAACCGACGGAUUGAAUAGCUUCUGAGAACUUGGCGAACCACUGGCGAGAAGCUUGUUUCAGACCAUAGAGUGAUUUAUGAAGGCGACAUACCAAGUUUUCCUCCCCCUGUCGCCGAAGCCCUAGCGACGGAGACAUAUAUAUUUCCUCAUGUAAGUUGCCAUGAAGAAAAGCGUUGUUAACAUCCAUUUGAUGAAGAGACCAGCCACGGGCUGCGGCAAUGCAAGCAAGCAGCGGACAGAUAUGAUCUUGGCGGUGGGGGCAAAGGUAUUCUGAUAAUCGACACCUUCUAAUUAAGUAAAGCCUUUCGCUACCAAUCGUGCUUUGUAACGCUCAAUAGACCCAUCUGAACGGUGUUUAAUUUUAUACACCCAUCGACAGCCAAUCGUUGUCUUACCGGCCGAAAGUGGAGUGAGAAACCAAGUGUCAUUAGCUUGGAGAGCCUGCAAUUCAGAACACAUUGCCUCCUGCCACUCAGGAUGAGCGGCUGCUUCUAAAUAAGACCUGGGUUCUGUGACAGCACUAUGUUGAGCAACAAAAGAUCUAUAUGCAGGCUUAUAUCUGUGAUAAGAAACAUAAUUGGCCAGUGGAUGUGUACCUUUAGUUGGACCUGGAAUCAAGAAAGACGAUUGAUUGGAGGAAACGUGGGAACAAACAUAAUCGUGGAGCUUGAUUGGCGGGGCGAUAUGGCGGCUGGAGCGACGAAGAGGAGUGGCUGGUUUGGGUGAGUGUGUCUCGGCUGGAGGAACGGACGGGAUGGAUGCAAACGGUGGCACCGGAGAAGGCGAUACUAGAGUUGUAGAAGGCGGUGGUGAAGGGUUUGGAUCAAUCUGAGAAGAAGGUUCGAUAAUGAGUUCGGAAUGUCGAGAAAGAGAGGAAAAGUCGUCAUUUUCUGUGGUGGGAGACAGUGUGCUUGUGUGGUUGGAAAGAAGAGGGGAAAGUGCGUGAGAAGUAGAGUCAAGGGAGGAAGAGAUGUCGUGGGCCACCAAGGGGAUUGGGCCAGAAUUAUGGGUGAACGAAGAGAGAGUAGAGUUGGGCUUGAGAGAGACAUAAGGAAAAAUAUCUUCAUGAAAUUUGACAUCUCGGCUAGUAAAGACCUUUUUGGUUGAUAAAUCAAAUAAUUUGUAUGCUUUCUGACCAACAGGAUAACCAAUGAAGAUGGAUGGCAUGGCACGGUAAUCAAAUUUGUGAGAGGUGUGAACAUUGGUGGCAUAGGCUAAACAUCCGAAAACACGGAGAUGGAGUAAGAAGGUGGUUUUGAGUAAAGCAAUUCAAAAGGAGUUUUGAAAGACAAUAUUGGUGAAGGUAACCGAUUGAUGAUGUGUACGGCAAUGAGAGCACACUCCCCCCAAAAUUGAGUGGGAACUUGAGCAUGGAAUUUCAAAGCUCGGGCUACUUGUAAAAUAUGACGAUGUUUGCGUUCCACAACCCCAUUUUGUUAAGGCGUGUAAACACAAGAAUGCUGAAAGAUGACACCAUUAUCUUGAAAAAAAGGAACGAAGUGAGGUAAAUUCUCUACCAUUGUCACUUCGAAAAGUUUUAAUGCGAAAUUCAAAUUGUGUGAACACAUAGCUGAAGAAAUGUUUUAAAAGUGAUUGUGCUUCAUCUUUAUAUCGCAUUAAAAAUAUCCAAGUGAAACGUGUAUAAUCAUCGACAAUAGUGAGAAAGUAAUGGGCACCAAACAGAGAACGGUGUCGAUAACGACCCCAAAUGUCACAAUGAAUAAUCUCAAAAGGUUUUGUAGAAGAAAUAGCACUAGUACCAAAAGGUAAACAACUUUGCUUAGCCAAAGGACAUAUAGGGCAAGCAUUAUUGGACUGAACAAAAAAAUUCAAAAAAUUCUUGGCAAUGAAACUCAAACGAGAAGGUGAUACAUGGCCUAAGCAACUGUGCCAGAGAUCGGUGGAAGAGAUGGCGAGAUUGCAGGCUGGUUGGUUUGUGGAUGAGGAAUGGUUGGUUAAAGAUUUCUCCGUCGCUAGUGCCACCAAAUAGUAUAGUCCGUCACGUUGUUUACCCAAACCAAUCGUCCUCCUCGUAGCCAGAUCCUGCAAAAUACACCAAUAAGGGAAACACGUCACUGAACAAUUUAGACCUCUUGUCAAACGACUAACUGAUAUUAAAUCAACUUUGAAUGUAGGCACAGAUAAGACAUCAUGCAGAUAAUAGACGGAAUUCAGAGGCAAAGUCCCUUUCGUAACAAUAUUCGUUUUUUCUCCACUAGGCAACAAUACGAGCGGUAACGAGCAAUUUUUAUCUUUAUGCAAUAACUUAGAGGAUGAAGUAAUAUGAUCCGUCGCCCCACUAUCAAUAAUCCAAUUGCGAGAAGCGACUUUGGACAAACCUGGCUUUGUUACAGCAUUCACUUUGGAACUAGAGUUUUCAUCUUGGUUAUUAAGAAGUGACAAAAGUUGCUUGAGUUGGGCUUCUGACAAUGCAACUGCAGGUUUCCCUUCAUCUGCCUCAGAAACUUGGUUAGCUGCAGAAAAACUUUUAUUUCGAUUUGAGUUUGAGCCUAAGUUUAUUCUUGCUUUUGGAUGGUCUGGUGGGUAUCCAUGUAGUUGAAAACACUUUUGGACCCAAUGACCCAUAUCUCCACAAUACGAGCACUGGGGGCGUCCUCUUCCAGAACCCAUGCGGCGCCAAUCUUGAUCAAAAAAUGGUCUGCCAUCUUGUCCCUGAGAAGACCGAUUCACCCGGAAAUUUUGAGAACUAGAGGGGUGAUCAGUCGGUUCCAUCCUUCCUGUGUUCGAUCGAUCUAUUCCAUCCUUCCAAGUUGCCGAAGACUUGUCGUUGCUACGCACAGCCAUAGCAGCACUUGCGGCAGAUUCCGCUGCUGCGUUCGUCGAAGUGAGGAGGCGUUGUUUUUCUUCUUGAGAGACAGAGGAGUAUGCUUGGCGGACAGAAGGAAGAGGAUUCAUCAGGAGGAUUUGCCCGUGAAUAGCACUGUAAGAUUCAUUCAAACCCAUCAGAAAUUGCAUCAAUUUUUGUUGAUCUUGUUGUGCCCCAUGUGAUGCAGCGUUGUAGGAAGCCAGUUCAUCCCACAGGCCUUUCAAUUUUGUGUAAUAGGCAGAGACAGAGAGUUGCUCUUUUCAAAGACAAGCAAUAUCUCGCUGAAUUUCAAAGAUGCGAGGCGCAUUGCUCUGAGAGAAUCGCUCACAGAGAUCUUCCCAAACUUCAUGAGCAGUAGAAUAAUAGAUUACACUGUCCGCAAUUUCUGGAUUGAGAGUAUUGACGAUCCAGGAGUGAACCAUGUCGUUACACCGUGACCAAGUCGCAUAACCUUCAGGAUCAAUUUCUUCUGAAGGAGCCUUGAUCGAGCCAUUAACAAAACCCAAUUUGUUCUUGGAAUUUAAAGCUAGAAUCAUAGCCCUUUUCCAAGCUGAAUAAUUGUCUCCAUUCAAAGAUUUGGAAAUCAAAACCAAACCUGGGUGAUCUGAAUGGUGAGUGAAAUAGGGAUUGGAGAGAUCUGCCUUUGAGAAAUCCGUAGGAAUCUCUAAUUUUGCCAUGAUGAUUGAAGAAAAGAGAUGCUAUACGAGAGAUUAGAGUGUAGCAAUAAAUCAGGAUUUUAGUCCUGCUCUGAUACCAUGAAAAGAAGAAGAAUUGGCUGAAUUAAUAUUAUUGAUGUUGAAGUGUGUAUCUAUACAAGGAGGUUUGAGAUCUUUUUCUACAAGUCAGGAAUUAGCUUACCAUAUUCUAGACUAUUCAACUAUAAGUCAGGAAUUACAAUAGGAAAACUAACAUAUACAGAUAAUCUAUUCUUAAUAUGGAAGAUUUAGGAAGAUUGACUUUCCAACACCCUCUCCAAAUCACUCAAUGCUCUAUCAAUGAAGUAGGUGUCUGCACCAGACAGGCUACAGGCAGUAUUCUUCUGCAUCAGCUCCACAAUCUGCAGUAUGGAACCUUUGAUGAUCUCUACAAACUGGGGUGCUGUAAAGGAGCAAUUGGCAGUUACGUCUCCAUAUUUGGUC
rnacentral:lncRNA from 1 species